GUUUUUUUAGUUUAAAGGUAAAAUCCUCGACUGUCAAUCGAGAGGAUAUCAGUUCGAAUCUGAUAAAAAUCG
rnacentral:tRNA from 1 species